GACUCUUAGAGGUGGAUCACUCGGCUCCUGCAUUGGUUUGAGUGCAGCUAGCUGCGAGAAUUAAUGUGAAUUGGAGGAUAUUGAUCCUCAACACUUGGAAUGCACUUGAGGCCCAUUGUUCCUCCAGGGGCUACGCCUGUCUGAGCAUAG
ensembl:rRNA 5_8S_rRNA 5.8S ribosomal RNA